GGAUCCAGACUUUGAUUAUGGCUCAGGACGAACGCUGGCGGCGUGCCUAACACAUGCAAGUCGAACGGAACUUUUUAAAGGAUAUCUUCGGAAUGAAUUUGAUUAAGUUUAGUGGCGGACGGGUGAGUAACGCGUGAGUAACCUGCCUCUGAGAGGGGAAUAACAUUCUGAAAAGAAUGCUAAUACCGCAUAAUAUAUAUUUAUCGCAUGGUAGAUAUAUCAAAGAUUUAUCGCUUAGAGAUGGACUCGCGUCCGAUUAGUUAGUUGGUGAGGUAACGGCUCACCAAGACCGCGAUCGGUAGCCGGACUGAGAGGUUGAACGGCCACAUUGGGACUGAGACACGGCCCAGACUCCUACGGGAGGCAGCAGUGGGGGAUAUUGCGCAAUGGGGGAAACCCUGACGCAGCAACGCCGCGUGAAGGAUGAAGGUCUUCGGAUUGUAAACUUCUUUUAUUAAGGACGAAGAAAGUGACGGUACUUAAUGAAUAAGCUCCGGCUAACUACGUGCCAGCAGCCGCGGUAAUACGUAGGGAGCAAGCGUUGUCCGGAUUUACUGGGUGUAAAGGGUGCGUAGGCGGCUUUGCAAGUCAGAUGUGAAAUCUAUGGGCUCAACCCAUAGCCUGCAUUUGAAACUGCAGAGCUUGAGUGAAGUAGAGGCAGGCGGAAUUCCCCGUGUAGCGGUGAAAUGCGUAGAGAUGGGGAGGAACACCAGUGGCGAAGGCGGCCUGCUGGGCUUUAACUGACACUGAGGCACGAAAGCGUGGGUAGCAAACAGGAUUAGAUACCCUGGUAGUCCACGCUGUAAACGAUGAUUACUAGGUGUGGGGGGUCUGACCCCUUCCGUGACGGAGUUAACACAAUAAGCAAUCCACCUGGGGAGUACGGCAA
rnacentral:rRNA from 1 species